GGAGGAUGACAGAAGAGAGAGAGCACAAUCAGAGUCAUGGAUGCAACUCGUCAUUCUCUCACACAACGAUGCUGUUCUCGAGCUUUCUUCUUCUUCU
rnacentral:pre_miRNA from 1 species